GAGUGCCUGGCUUCUUUUUAUAAGCUUUCAUUUUGGGCACCUGGUUUGGAAUUUUGAGGGGAAACUUUGGUGGGCUGUGUUAAAGCUACUUUAAGAGAUAUAUCUCACUGUUGAUCCCAGGGCAAGGGGAAGACAGGAAAUUCUUUGCUGUGUUACUGUUUGGGCCAUGUUGGUCCUUAUGAGAAAGUCUUGGAAACCAAAGUCUCUGGUCCACCUUCUCUAAGUCUCUUUGGGUUUGAUUCAAGCAUCCAGUGUCUCCUCGUGUUUGCAGAUUAAACUCAUGUCUCCAGUCCCAUUGUCUGCCACUCACUGUCUUUGCACCAGUUUCUCUCCCUACAACCUGGUAGGUACUAUCUCCUUCGAGGGUGGAAGGGAUCUGGCAUAUAUAUUGUGCUAAAGGAGCUGAUUUCUGUCAGGGCGCGCGGUGUAAGACAUCAGCACGACAUGAUUUGCGGAGGGAUAGAGAGGGCGGCUCGCCGCACAAUGGUGGGAAAUAGCACGGUGUAUUUUGACAUGAAAGAGUCUCAAAAGCAAAGGAAUUGUUCCUUGUUUGCUUGCUGCUAUUAGACGUCAUUUCAUGUCUUUCCAAGUAUCGGAAUCUGAUAGAGAAUUUUCCCUUCAAAGACCGCAGCAGUCUUUGACGGGGAAAAUUUCCCAGCGGUCUCAAGUGCCCUUCCGCGCGUACUGGGCUAAGUUCUCCUGCAGGAACCAGAGAGAACAGCACACACAGCUGUGUAAAGAUCACAAGCCAAGGAGGGGGAAUUUGCAUAUUACACAGGAGGUCCAACAGGUGAGGUUCACAUCCUGGGGUUAAAAUGCUCCAAUCAGGUUUUGCAGUUUGAAGUUUUGAUAAGUUCGUUUCCCCAUGUUUUCUCUAUUUUCACCUUGAGGUUCAUUAUUCUUCUUUACCUGGGCUCUUUGGGCCUGUAUUCCUACUUUACUCUUUUUUUUUUAAUCCUCCGUAAACAAAUUUAUUUUUCACCAGUUCCUUGAUUGCUGUGAAAGUAAAAUCCUUCCUUCUAAGCAAGGGAUUCUUUCCAGGUGAAGGGCAAAAGUGUUCUCUUAAACCACGUAACGUUUCCUUGUGCUCUCCCCUCCACUCACCCAACCCUAGGCAGCCACGGAUAUGCUCUCUGACACCGUGGAUGAGCUUUACUUUUUCUAGAAAUCCAUAUAAACAGAAUCAUAGAGCACAUACUCUCUUAUAUCUUGCCUUUUUCCACCAUGCGUGAUGUUUAUAUCAGUAGUCCAUUUCUUUUUACGGCCGAGUAGUACUGUAUAGAUAAGUCAUUAUUUAUUCAUAGUUAUUCAUGUGGUUGGCUAUUUGGAUUGUUUCUAGUUUUUAGCUCUUAUGAAUUAAACUGCUACAAAUAUUCAUAUGGUUUAUGUGUAAACAUACAUUUUCAUUUCUCUUGGGUAAAUGUCCCAUUUAUUGAUUAUGGCAGUGAUUCCAUGGUUACAGCAAUUUGUCAAAGCUCGUCAAAAAUGUAAAUUUUAAAUUAGUACGUUUUGUUUUUGAAUAGGAGACUGGCUAAGUCAACUGUGGUCAGUCAUACCAUAGCAUGAUAUUCGGCAAUAAAAAUGAAUGAAAUGUUGAUACUUAGAACAACUAAGAUGGAUUUCAGGGAAUCAUGCUGAGUAAAAAAAUUUUUUUAAAUCCUAGCCUAAAAGGUCAUACAUUAUAUGAUUUCACUUAAAUAUCACUCCUGAAAUGGCAACUCUAUAGAAAUGGGGAACAGAUUAGUGCUUGCCAAGGGUCAGAGAUGGUGGGGGUGGGAAAAUGGGGAGAAAAGAUGUGUAUGGCUAUAUAAGGGCUGCAUGAGGGAUCUUUAUGAUGGAUCUGCUCCUCUUCCCCACUGCAUCAGUGACAAUAUCCUUGUUGUGAUGUUGAUUAUAUAUAAUAUGUAUAUUAUAUUAUAUAUAUAUAGUGAUUUUUUACUAUUGCUUUGCUCAUCUACUAGCUUGGGUGAAUAGUUCAUGGAUUUUCCUGUAUGAUCUCUUACAAUUGCAUGUGAAUAUAAAAUUAUCUCAAAAUGAAAAUCUAAUUUUUUUUUUUUUGGUCUAGU